rnacentral:rRNA from 1 species
GGUAUGUACUGGCUCGCUGAUUCCUCCUUCUUGUAGAACCGUAAUGCCAUUAAUUUAGUGUUGCGGGGAAACAGGACUGCUACUUUGAAAAAAUUAGAGUGUUUAAAGCAGGCUAGCGCCUGAAUACAUUAGCAUGGAAUAAUGAAAUAGGACGUUCGAACCUAUUUUGUUGGUUUCUAGGAUUGACGUAAUGAUUAAUAGGGAUAGUUGGGGGCAUUAGUAUUCAACUGUCAGAGGUGAAAUUCUUGGAUUUAUUGAAGACUGACUACUGCGAAAGCAUUUGCCAAGGAUGUUUUCAUUAAUCAAGAACGAAAGUUAGGGGAUCGAAGACGAUCAGAUACCGUCGUAGUCUUAACCAUAAACUAUGCCGACUAGGGAUCGGAUGAUGUUA